GACGUAGGAUGCGAGCGUUGUCCGGAUUUAUUGGGCGUAAAGAGUUCGUAGGCGGUUUGUUAAGUCUGAUGUUAAAGAUCAGGGCUCAACCCUGAAAGUGCAUUGGAUACUGGCAGACUGGAGUGUGGUAGAGGUAAGUGGAAUUCCUGGUGUAGCGGUGAAAUGCGUAGAUAUCAGGAAGAACACCGGUGGCGUAGGCGACUUACUGGGCCAUAACUGACGCUGAGGAACGAAAGCCAGGGGAGCAAAUGGG
rnacentral:rRNA from 1 species